rnacentral:rRNA from 1 species
AAAACUUUUAACAACAGAUCUCUUAGUUCUAGCAUUAAUAAAGAACGCAGCAAAAUAUAAUAAGUAAUAUAAAUUACAGAAUUUAGUAAAUUAUUAAAUCUUUAAACGCACAUUACGCCUGCCAGCAUUCUAGCAGGCAUGCCUGUUUAAGCGUUAUUUUAACCCUUAAGCUCUGCUUAGUGUUAGGGCCCUACGGUUAACGUAAGCCCUUAAAGGUAGUAGCAGACCCUCUUAGAGCCUCCUUUACAUAGUAACUAACGUCUCGCAUUAGGAUUUAAAGAGACUCUUACUAUAAAACCCCCUAAUUUUUUAAUAGUUAACCUUAGAUUAGGUAGAAAUACCUACUAAACUUAAGCAUAUUAAUAAGCAGAAGAAAAGAAACUAAUAAGGAUUACCUUAGUAACAGUAAGUAAAGUAGCAACAGCUUAAAUUUAAAAUCUAGCCUUAGGCCUAAGUUAUAAUUUAUAAAGAAUGCUUUUAGCGCAGUGCCUUCUAAGUUCCCUAGAACAGGACGCCAUAGAGGGUAAGAGCCUCGUACGGUUAGACACUAAGCCUUUAUAAAGCUCCUUUAAUAAGUUAAGUAGUUUAAGAAUGCUGCUUAAAAUAAGAGGUAUAUUUCUUCUAAAGCUAAAUAUUAGCUAGAGACUAAUAGCGCAUAAGUAAAGUAAUUAAAAGAUAAAAAGCACUUUAAAAAGAGGGUUAAAUAGCACGUAAAAUUAUUAAAAGAGAAGCGCUUAUAACUAGACUUACGCCUAGUAAAUUACCUAGCUCUUGCGGCUAAGGCACUUUGCUAGCAUAGGCCAGCAUUAGCUUGCCGUUAGAAACAAAAGCUUUAGAAACAUAGCUUUCUUUAGGAAGUAUUAUAGCCUGUUGCAUAAUACCCUUUAGCAGGCUAAGGUACGCGCUCCGUAAGAAUGCUAGCAUAAUAGUUAUUAGUAACCUGUCUUAAAACACAGACUAAGGAGUUAACCUUAUGUGUAAGUAUUUAGGUAUUAAACCCCUACGCGUAAUAAAAGUAAACGUAGGUAAGAGCUUUAGCGUAUUAUUAACUAAUCCUAAUGUUCUCAGAUAGAUUUAAGUAAGAGUAUAUAGGGUUAGACCUAAAAGAAGGUAAACUAUGCAUGUAUAGGGUGAAGCCAGAGGAAACUCUAGUAAAGGCUUACAGCAGUUCUAACGUAUAAAUCAAUUAUUAAAUAUGCGCAUAAGGGCAAAAGACUAAUUAAACCUUUUAGUAGCUAGUUUCUACUAAAGUUUCCUUUAGGAUAGCAGUGUUAAACUUAGUUUUAUAAGGUAAAGCAAAUAAUUAGGGACUUAGGGGCGCUAUAUUGCCUUUAUCUAUUCUCAAACUUUAAAUAUGUAAGAAGCCCUUAUUACUUAAUUAAAUAUAGGCAUUUAAAUGUAUUAACACUAGUAGGCCAUUUUUAGUAAGCAGAACUAGUAAUGCAGGAUAAACCAAACGUAAGGUUAAGGUGCCAAAGUAGUUACUUAUUAGAUACUACAAAAGGUGUUAGUACAUCUUAACAGUAGGACGGUAGCUAUAGAAGUUAGAAUCUACUAAGGACUAUGUAAUAACUUACCUACUAAAUAUACUAGCCCUAAAAAUAGAUAGCGCUUAAGUAACUUACCUAUACCUUACCCUUAGUAUAGAAACAAUGCACUAAGGAGUAGGCAGACGUAAAGGUUAGUAACAAAGCCUAGGGCGUAAGCCUAGGUAAAACGGCCUCUAGUGCAGAUCUUAGUAGUAGUAGUAAAUACUUUAAUAAGAACUUAAAGGACCAAAGUAGGGAAAGGUUCUAUGUAAACAGCAGUUAGAUAUAGGUUAGUUAAUCCUAAGCCAUAGGAAAGUUCUGUUUUAAAGAGGCACUUAUGCCCUAUAUAGCAAAAGAGAAGCUGGUUAAUAUUCUGGCACCUAGAUAUAGGUUUUGCGCGGCAACGUAACUAAACGCAAAGACAACAGCAGGGGCCCUAGGCAAAGUUCUCUUUUCUUCUUAACAGUCUAUUACCCUAAAAUCGGUUUAUCUAAAGCUAGGGUUUAACGGCUAGAAGAGCCUAGCACUUCUGUUAGGUCUAGUGCACUCUUAACGUCCCUUAAAAAUCUGUAGAAAGGAAUAAUUCUUACGCUAGGUCAUACUUAUAACUACAGUAGGUCUCUAAGGUAAACAGCCUCUAGUUAAUAGAACAAUAUAGAUAAGGGAAGUUAGUAAAAUAGAUCUAUAACUUUAGAAUAAGGAUUAGCUCUAAGGGUUAGGUACGUUAGGCUUUAGGCAGAUAGCUUAGGAGCAGGUUGCCACUAGCUAGGCAACCGGCUAGAGGCUUCUAGUAUCUAGGUUCUAACGCCUUUAGCAGGCUUUAGCCGUCUGGCGUACGGUUAAUAACUAACUUAGAACUAGUAUAGAUAAAGGGAAUCUAACUAUCUAAUUAAAACAUAGUAUUACAAUAGCUAGAAAGUGGUGUUAACGCAAUAUAAUUUCUGCCUAGUGCUCUAAAUAUCAAAGUAAAG